UUGGUUAUUGCUUCCAGUUUCCCACUUUAUUAAAUAAUAAUAAUAGAAAAAAGGUAAAAGCACUCCCUAGUUUCAACCUACCUCAGCCCCCACCUACCCCACCCCACCUCCUUUAAUAAAGGAAGAUGCAAUCCCCACCAACCCCCAACUUCACGUAAAAAAAACCACGCUACUCUUUCUCUUCCUUCUCCAAACAUCAAUGGCCAUCUUUUCUAGUUUGAGUUCUCUGUUUCUUCUCCUUUUCUGUGAAGUACUCGGUCCAUUCGUAUCGGGCUAUCUCGGGUGAUUUUGGACCAUAUCAGUCGAACAGGGUGAAAUAUCGCCUUUUUAGAAAAGGUCAUGAUAAAUCACUAAGUAUUGGUUCACCAUACUAAAAAUCCGAGUUAGAUCGGGCGAGACGAGUUAACUCGCGAGAGUUUUUACUCUAUGGCCCCUCCACAUGCAUCUUGGGUAGUGAGGAAAAUUUUUGAUGCUAUGAAGUUUAUUCAUAAUUUGCCUGAUAGGAAAGUUUUACAACAUCAUACUUUCUCUAUUAGGAACUUGUAUGACAACAUGAGAGGAAUGGCGGCUGCAGUUCCUUGGAAGAAAUUAACAUACAGAAGGACGAGAGUAUUUCUCAUUUACUCUUUGAUGGUGAGUACUCUACUAGUGUAUGGUCUGAAGCUUUAAGAUGGAUAUAUUAGAAGAACUCCCGGUAAAGUUGCAAGUGCUAGCUUCUAGUUGGAGUACCAAGGCCGAGAAGCAUCAGAGAUACAGGUAGUGUUAUGCAUUGCAGUGUACUUAAUAUGGAGAGAGCGGAAUGCCAGGAAAUUCCAAAAUAUUCAACAUCCUCAUGUGUUAGCGCUUGCUCAAUUGAAGAUGAUAGCAUGUAUAUGCUGUUUAAAGAAGAAGAAGUUAGAACAUGCUAUUGCUAAACUAGUUCAGUGUUUUUGAAUUUAAGCUUGUGGUUUUGCGUGUUUGGUUGUAUUUGUUGUUAUGAAGUUUGUAUUCCCUGUUUGGUAUCAUUAUAAUCCUUUAUUUUACCAAAAAAAAUAAAAUAAUCAAGUUACUAAUUUAUAGUUAUUAACAAA